rnacentral:tRNA from 1 species
GGCCCUGUCGCUCAAUUGAAUAGAGUGUUGGAUUCCGGUUCCAAAGGUUCCGGGUUUGAGACCCGGCAGGGUCA